CAUAAAUCUAACAAAAUGAACGGAAAACUGUUUUUACUUACUUUCCUCGUGCUAUCUUGCUUAAUCGCUACAGCUGUCUGUGAACCUAACCCGGUUCCCGGCAGUGACUCGAUAAGUGUAAAUCCUAGCAAUUCAGCUGUCAAUGACAACACUCAAGGAACAAAGAGUUCGCAAAAACAACGACGCCGAGGAAUAUUUUAGAACAAGGGGCCUACGAAGAUUUAUAGUACGUCGUAGCUUCACGCUUCUCUAAACCUCAAUAUUAUGUUAUAAAUUGGUUUCUCUUUAUUGAAGAAAAAAAUCAUAUUUUAAUAA